GGUAAAAUGGCUGAGGUUAUAGGCAAUAAACUGUAAAUUUAUUAACGAAUAUUUAUUCUUUUACCA
rnacentral:tRNA from 1 species